GACGAACGCUGGCGGCGUGCCUAACACAUGCAAGUCGAACGGAACUGUUUUGAAAGAUUUCUUCGGAAUAAAUUUGAUUUAGUUUAGUGGCGGACGGGUGAGUAACGCGUGAGUAACCUGCCUUCAAGAGGGGGAUAACAUUCUGAAAAGAAUGCUAAUACCGCAUGACAUAUCGGAAUCACAUGGUUCUGAUAUCAAAGAUUUUAUCGCUUGAAGAUGGACUCGCGUCCGAUUAGUUAGUUGGUGAGGUAACGGCUCACCAAGACCGCGAUCGGUAGCCGGACUGAGAGGUUGAACGGCCACAUUGGGACUGAGACACGGCCCAGACUCCUACGGGAGGCAGCAGUGGGGGAUAUUGCGCAAUGGGGGCAACCCUGACGCAGCAACGCCGCGUGAAGGAUGAAGGUUUUCGGAUUGUAAACUUCUUUUAUUAAGGACGAAAAAUGACGGUACUUAAUGAAUAAGCUCCGGC
rnacentral:rRNA from 1 species